rnacentral:sRNA from 1 species
UUUUAAUGCAAGCAGCAAGAACAGCUCGCCGCUCGUUUGGUUUAUUUACACA